CCCUUAGAUGUUCUGGGCCGCACGCGCGUUACACUGAUGCAUUCAACGAGUGUACCUUGGCCGAGAGGCCUGGGCAAUCUUUUGAACGUGCAUCGUGAUAGGGAUAGAUUAUUGCAAUUAUUAAUCUUGAACGAGGAAUUCCUAGUAAACGCAGUUCAUCAAACUGCAUUGAUUACGUCCCUGCCCUUUGUACACACCGCCCGUCGCACCUACCGAUUGGAUGGUCCGGUGAAGCCUCGGGAUUGUGGCGGUUGCCUUUAUUGGUGGCCGCCGCGAGAACUUGUCUAAACCUUAUCAUCUAGAGGAAGGUGAAGUCGUAACA
rnacentral:rRNA from 1 species